rnacentral:rRNA from 1 species
CGUAGGUGGCAAGCGUUGUCCGGAUUUAUUGGGUUUAAAGGGUGCGUAGGCGGUUCCAUAAGUCAGUGGUGAAAUACGGCAGCUCAACUGCCGAGGUGCCAUUGAUACUGCGGAACUUGAGUACUGAUGAGGUAGGCGGAAUUGACGGUGUAGCGGUGAAAUGCUUAGAUAUCGUCAAGAACACCGAUAGCGAAGGCAGCUUACCAAGCAGUAACUGACGCUGAGGCACGAAAGUGCGGGGAUCAAACAGGAUUAGAUACCCUGGUAGUCCGCGCAGUAAACGAUGAUUACUCGAUGUUGGCGAUACACAGCCAGCGUCUUAGCGAAAGCGAUAAGUAAUCCACCUGGGGAGUACGCCCGCAAGGGUG